AGGCCACUGCUAUGGGGGUCCGACUAAGCCAUGCGAGUCAUGGGGCGCCUUGCGCGCACCGGCGGACGGCUCAGUAACACGUCGGUAACCUACCCUCGGGAGGGGGAUAACCCCGGGAAACUGGGGCUAAUCCCCCAUAGGUCUGAGGUACUGGAAGGUCCUCAGACCGAAAGGGGCUCUGCCCGCCCGAGGAUGGGCCGGCGGCCGAUUAGGUAGUUGGUGGGGUAACGGCCCACCAAGCCGAAGAUCGGUACGGGCCAUGAGAGUGGGAGCCCGGAGAUGGACACUGAGACACGGGUCCAGGCCCUACGGGGCGCAGCAGGCGCGAAACCUCCGCAAUGCUCGAAAGAGCGACGGGGGGACCCCCAGUGCCGUGGCAACGCCACGGCUUUUCCGGAGUGUAAAGAGCUCCGGGAAUAAGGGCUGGGCAAGGCCGGUGGCAGCCGCCGCGGUAAUACCGGCGGCC
rnacentral:rRNA from 1 species